rnacentral:rRNA from 1 species
UACGAAGGGGGCUAGCGUUGUUCGGAAUUACUGGGCGUAAAGCGUGCGCAGGCGGUUUGCUAAGACCGAUGUGAAAUCCCCGGGCUUAACCUGGGAACUGCAUUGGUGACUGGCAGGCUAGAGUAUGGCAGAGGGGGGUAGAAUUCCACGUGUAGCAGUGAAAUGCGUAGAGAUGUGGAGGAAUACCGAUGGCGAAGGCAGCCCCCUGGGCCAAUACUGACGCUCAUGCACGAAAGCGUGGGGAGCAAACAGG